rnacentral:rRNA from 1 species
GAUGAACGCUGGCGGCGUGCCUAAUACAUGCAAGUCGAGCGAACAGACGAGGAGCUUGCUCCUUUGACGUUAGCGGCGGACGGGUGAGUAACACGUGGGUAACCUACCUAUAAGACUGGGAUAACUUCGGGAAACCGGAGCUAAUACCGGAUAAUAUUUCGAACCGCAUGGUUCGAUAGUGAAAGAUGGCUUUGCUAUCACUUAUAGAUGGACCUGCGCCGUAUUAGCUAGUUGGUAAGGUAACGGCUUACCAAGGCAACGAUACGUAGCCGACCUGAGAGGGUGAUCGGCCACACUGGAACUGAGACACGGUCCAGACUCCUACGGGAGGCAGCAGUAGGGAAUCUUCCGCAAUGGGCGAAAGCCUGACGGAGCAACGCCGCGUGAGUGAUGAAGGUCUUCGGAUCGUAAAACUCUGUUAUUAGGGAAGAACAAAUGUGUAAGUAACUGUGCACGUCUUGACGGUACCUAAUCAGAAAGCCACGGCUAACUACGUGCCAGCAGCCGCGGUAAUACGUAGGUGGCAAGCGUUAUCCGGAAUUAUUGGGCGUAAAGCGCGCGUAGGGCGGUUUUUUAAGUCUGAUGUGAAAGCCCACGGCUCAACCCGUGGAGGGUCAUUGGAAACUGGAAAACUUGAGUGCAGAAGAGGAAAGUGGAAUUCCAUGUGUAGCGGUGAAAUGCGCAGAGAUAUGGAGGAACACCAGUGGCGAAGGCGACUUUCUGGUCUGUAACUGACGCUGAUGUGCGAAAGCGUGGGGAUCAAACAGGAUUAGAUACCCUGGUAGUCCACGCCAUAAAUGAUGAGUGCUAAGUGUUAGGGGGGUUCCGCCCCUUAGUGCUGCAGCUAACGCAUUAAGCACUCCGCCUGGGGAGUACGACCGCAAGGUUGAAACUCAAAGGAAUUGACGGGGACCCGCACAAGCGGUGGAGCAUGUGGUUUAAUUCGAAGCAACGCGAAGAACCUUACCAAAUCUUGACAUCCUUUGACCCUUCUAGAGAUAGAAGUUUCCCCUUCGGGGGACAAAGUGACAGGUGGUGCAUGGUUGUCGUCAGCUCGUGUCAUGAGAUGUUGGGUUAAGUCCCGCAACGAGCGCAACCCUUAAGCUUAGUUGCCAUCAUUAAGUUGGGCACUCUAAGUUGACUGCCGGUGACAAACCGGAGGAAGGUGGGGAUGACGUCAAAUCAUCAUGCCCCUUAUGAUUUGGGCUACACACGUGCUACAAUGGACAAUACAAAGGGCAGCGAAACCGCGAGGUCAAGCAAAUCCCAUAAAGUUGUUCUCAGUUCGGAUUGUAGUCUGCAACUCGACUACAUGAAGCUGGAAUCGCUAGUAAUCGUAGAUCAGCAUGCUACGGUGAAUACCGUUCCCGGGUCU